UUUAAAGAAAAAAUGCACUGAAAUACACUUGAUCUAGAUCAAGGCGUUGUACUAUAGGUGGACCGCAAUGUCAAAAUCGCUGUUCGGCCAUUGCUCGUGAAAAAACAAAUUUGUUUACAAAACAAAUCGUAUCUUUUGGUGACAAAUGCAUUCGUUGGCAAAAUAGCUGCUCGCGUUUUACUGUAGCUAGAUAUUUACAAUAAGCGGUCGAAUCAUAACAGUGCAGAAGGAUGUUUUUAGUAUAUCUUUCUGCUUCUAGCCGCGCAAUCAAUGCCUUUCUUUUCAAGCAAGAUGUACUUCUGUUCGGCUACCAUCGGCGGGGAAAAGAGCUUACGGAGAUGAUGACAAAAAAUAACGUUGAUUAUAGCUGCACUGAUUUCGCUCAGGGUGGAGGAGAAUGCUGUGCAUAUACCGGGAAAGAGAUUACCAGAUCCAGAAACAAUGUUUGCAACAGGAAAGUAACCAGUUGCGUUGGUUGGAUUUUAGAGGCGAAUGAACUGAAAAGUUUAAAGCCUCUUAAAUUAAACAUCAUCAUCAUUGCGUUGGAUGUUUUAAUGAAGGAAAAUCCAAGUCUUUGAUUUUGUGUUUUUUGUUUUGUAAACACCGUAGCAAUACUACUGAUAUUUGAGAUAUAAAUUAGAUUA